rnacentral:lncRNA from 1 species
AAAUUGAUUGUAUUAAAUAUGUUUUAAACAUUUGAGAUUUCAAAUGUUAAACUCAAAAGCUUGAGUACUGGAAGUAAAACUAAUAGUCCAAAACUUUAAGUUGGUCUAGGUUAUUGGUGAAAAUUUUGAGGACCAGGAGUGUGUUUGUUCUUAUGGAAGUUUGACAUCUAGGCACCAAUUCGUAGAGUUCGAAAUUGCGAAUGUUUAAACGACACUACGAUCUUAAAAGUCGGUAAGGCUCACAACACCCGCAUGCAUGAAACAGUUUCAAAUGCCAGCAAGUUUGCAUACGGUGCAAAUUCACAACUUCACGAUCGUCAAGCGCGAAGUCGAGUUCGGCUAUAUGAACGGAACUUGCUAUCUUCGAGGAAGUCGAGCUCAUGUUAACAAUCACACCCUAAAAGUAAGCUACUUUCUAAAGUAUAGGAUGAUAAUGUGGAACUUGAACUUGGGAUACCAUACUUAAAAAUUAGAGGAUCAAAGUGAACACGGCCGAACGUUCAGGAUAAGUCCAUGCAAUUUACACUUUUCGCCGGUGUGUAGUUGUCUCAUGCUUCUGUAACAUCCCAGACGCCGGAUGAUGAGAUUGCUCUGAUGGUUUGGUCAGCAAUGAGGAUGAUGGUGGUUUCCGGCGGCGAUUUCUAUAUAACCGAGGUAAGAAAAAGAUAAGAGAUAGAGGUAGUGACAGAAAUAAAGUUGGGGAUAGAGAUAGAGAUAGAGAUAGAGAAAAAAUAAGAGUUGGGAAAGAAGAAGGGUUUGGAGAGGUUAGAGGCAGAUUGAGGGAGAUGAGGGCAUGAGACUGAGAGAGAGAGAGAGAGAGAGAGAGAGCAGAGAGGAGAGUUGGAGAAUUGGGAAGAAGGAAAAUACUAAUUCAUUUU